rnacentral:rRNA from 1 species
GUGGGGAAUUUUGGACAAUGGGCGCAAGCCUGAUCCAGCAAUGCCGCGUGCAGGAAGAAGGCCUUCGGGUUGUAAACUGCUUUUGUACGGAACGAAACGGUCCGGGUUAAUACCCUGGGCUAAUGACGGUACCGUAAGAAUAAGCACCGGCUAACUACGUGCCAGCAGCCGCGGUAAUACGUAGGGUGCAAGCGUUAAUCGGAAUUACUGGGCGUAAAGCGUGCGCAGGCGGUUUUGUAAGACAGGCGUGAAAUCCCCGGGCUCAACCUGGGAAUUGCGCUUGUGACGGGAAGGCUGGAGUGCGGCAGAGGGGGAUGGAAUUCCGCGUGUAGCAGUGAAAUGCGUAGAUAUGCGGAGGAACACCGAUGGCGAAGGCAAUCCCCUGGGCCUGCACUGACGCUCAUGCACGAAAGCGUGGGGAGCAAACAGGAUUAGAUACCCGUGUAGUCC